rnacentral:misc_RNA from 1 species
GAUGAAUAACGUAGCGAAAUGCGAUACUUGGUGUGAAUUGCAGAAUCCCGUGAACCAUCGAGUCUUUGAACGCAAGUUGCGCCCGAAGCCAUCAGGUUGAGGGCACGUCUGCCUGGGCGUCACAUAUCGUUGCCCAAUGCCUAUUGCAGUGCAAUAGGAAUUUCUAGGGCGAAUGAUGGCUUCCCGUGAGCGUUGUUGCCUCGCGGUUGGUUGAAAAUCGAGUCCUUGGUAGGGUGUGCCAUGGUAGAUGGUGGUCGAGUUAGAACGAUACCGAUCAUGUGCAUGCUCCCCAAAAUAUGGCCUCUAUGACCCACACGCGUCUUUUGACGCUCAUGACGAGACCUCAGGUCAGGCGGGGCUACCCGCUGAAUUUAAGCAUAUCAAUAAGCGGAGGA